UGAGGAAUUUUGGUCAAUGGACGCAAGUCUGAACCAGCCAAGUAGCGUGCAGGAUGACGGCCCUAUGGGUUGUAAACUGCUUUUAUAUGGGGAUAAAGUGGGGAACGUGUUCCCUUUUGCAGGUACCAUAUGAAUAAGGACCGGCUAAUUCCGUGCCAGCAGCCGCGGUAAUACGGAAGGUUCGGGCGUUAUCCGGAUUUAUUGGGUUUAAAGGGAGCGUAGGCCGUUUUGUAAGCGUGUUGUGAAAUGUAGGAGCUCAACUUCUAGAUUGCAGCGCGAACUGUCAGACUUGAGUGCGCACAACGUAGGCGGAAUUCAUGGUGUAGCGGUGAAAUGCUUAGAUAUCAUGAAGAACUCCGAUUGCGAAGGCGGCUUACGGGAGCGCAACUGACGCUGAAGCUCGAAGGUGCGGGUAUCGAACAGG
rnacentral:rRNA from 1 species